rnacentral:rRNA from 1 species
GGGCGAACGGGUGAGUAACGCGUAGGAAUCUACCUGGUAGUGGGGGACAACAUGUGGAAACGCAUGCUAAUACCGCAUACGACCUAAGGGUGAAAGUGGGGGACCUUCGGGCCUCACGCUAUCGGAUGAGCCUGCGUAAGAUUAGCUAGUUGGUGAGGUAAGAGCUCACCAAGGCGACGAUCUUUAGCUGGUCUGAGAGGAUGAUCAGCCACACUGGGACUGAGACACGGCCCAGACUCCUACGGGAGGCAGCAGUGGGGAAUAUUGCGCAAUGGAGGAAACUCUGACGCAGCCAUGCCG